CCUACGGGAGGCUGCAGUGGGGAAUAUUGCACAAUGGGGGGAACCCUGAUGCAGCGACGCCGCGUGAGUGAAGAAGUAUUUCGGUAUGUAAAGCUCUAUCAGCAGGGAAGAAAAUGACGGUACCUGUCUAAUAAGCCCCGGCUAACUACGUGCCAGCAGCCGCGGUAAUACGUAGGGGGCAAGCGUUAUCCGGAUUUACUGGGGGUAAAGGGAGCGUAGACGGCAGAGCAAGGCUGAAGUGAAAGCCGGGGGCCGAACUGCGGGACGGCUUUGGAAACUGCCCAGCUAGAGUGAUGGAGAGGUAAGCGGACUUCCGAGUGUAGCUGUGAAAUGCGUAGAUAUUAGGCGGAACACCCGUUGCGAAGGCGGCUUACUGGACAGUAACUGACGUUGAGGCUCGAAAGCGUGGGGAGCAAACAGGAUUAGAUACCCCAGUAGUC
rnacentral:rRNA from 1 species